GCGCGAAAACUUUACAAUGCUGGCAACAGCGAUAAGGGAACCUCGCGUGCCAGGUUACAAAUCUGGCUGUCGAGAUGCCUAAAAAGCAUUUCAUAGCAAGGGCCGGGCAAGACCGGUGCCAGCCGCCGCGGUAACACCGGCGGCUCGAGUGGUAACCGUUAUUAUUGGGUCUAAAGGGUCUGUAGCCGGCCGGAUAAGUCUCUUGAGAAAUCUGGCAGCUUAACUGUCAGGCUUUCAGGAGAUACUGUCUGGCUCGAGGCCGGGAGAGGUGAGAGGUACUUCAGGGGUAGGGGUGAAAUCUUGUAAUCCUAGAAGGACCAACAGUGGCGAAGGCGUCUGAACAGAAAGGACCUGACGGCAAGGGACGAAAGCUAGGGGCACGAACC
rnacentral:rRNA from 1 species